ACCCUAGUCCUCUGUUUGCUUGCUGAGAAACUGGGGGGAAAAUGAAAGAAAACUAUAAAUCUUUUCAACAUGUUCGAGUUGGAGUGGCAACUGUGACAAUCCAGAUUUUUUUUUCUUCUUCUCACCGUUUCUCAGCCAACAAAUGGAGAACAUUGAUUCCAGAUAAAGCUUUCGGGUGAGGUCCUUCAGCUCUGUUUUGCUGCCUCUGCCUAUUAAGGUAAAGCUUUCCAUGGCAAUCUUAACUUGGAAAAUAUGAAGUGAAGACAGAAGAAACAUCUCCAGAAGUACAGAUGCAUUGGAUAGAAUUUUUACUAUUGAACAUCUUAGGAAAAGAAGGAAGUGUGUCCCUGAUUGGUGUUGCACGUGUAAAGGAGUGGAGGAGACCGAUGGCCACCAUUUUUUCCUUUUUUUACUAGUUCUGGUAGCCUUGGAUUUGUAAUCUCUUCUGCUACAGUUUGUGGGUGUGCAGUGGCUGAUGCCUUGGGCAGUGAGGGAGUUGUAUGAUGGUUGGAAUGGUGCAUUUUUUUUUUUUUUUUUUUUUUUUUUACAAGAAGCAAGGAGGAUAUAUAGAAAAGAAUUCCUUUACUCCUUUCUCUUAUGAUCUGGAAGCAAAUGGAUAAGAGGACUUUUGAGGUGGAGGAAGACUCCUUUUUUAAGCUCAAAUUUAUCUUCCUUAGUGCAUUAUUUUAUUGGUUGUCUGGAAACAGUGGCAAUAAGCGAGAGUUCCGUUGUAGUACUCUCUUUUGAAGUCUACUAGUAGGUGCUCUUUGUAUAGAUCUUGUGUGAUCUGGUGUGCCUUUUUCUAUUAUUAAUUUAUACAUACCUAUCUUUACCUAUAAAAAAAAGCGAGAGUUGCUUUGUAGAUAUCCUUGACAGAACAUACUGUGCAGGUUAGGAGUUGGUUAGUGUUGAUUCCUAUCUGUUUUUAGGUUUCUAUGUGUGAUCCCUGUAUGAUCCAUGCUACAUGCGUUUGGAACUUCUUUUCUAUUUGGAAUUUUAGGUGGAGUUCAUGACUUUUAUUGUGAUAUUACAUUGAACAAAUAGAUGAUACCUUGGUCUUACCAUCUUGGGGCAUCCUCUUGUAUUAAUUUUUUCUAAGCAACCAUGGUAUUAUUUUUGGGAGGUGCAUAGUAUGACCAAAUUACCAUAGCAAAGGGGAAAGAGCUUGGCAUGUUCCAAGUGCACAUGACUUUUGAAAAAUGUUACACAGAAAUGUACCAUGAGAUUCAAGAGACCAAACUCUAUCAUUGUGGAAAGAAAAGACAAAUAAAUGCAUUUAAUAAGUUAUAGAAAGGAAAGGAAUUCCUGCAAAGUUUCUAAGUUAGGACCAGAUUGAGAAGAUAACAGAAAAUGAGCUAUAUUGGCAGGUGGGGGAAGCAGUUUUAGGAGUAAUUAUGAUCUAAGUUUAAAUCCAGAAAUUUAAUUUAGAUUCUAAAUUGAUAUCAAGUCCCAUGGAAGAAAGGAAGAGAGGUGGGGGUUGGCUUAUUAAUUUCUAGUAUGUUAUAGGUGCUUAUAUUAGCUAAAUUUCAGUUCCAACCAUUUAACAAACACCUCCAGAGCCACUUUCCUAUCGAGGCCUGUUCUUUGAUCUUAUGUUCUGUUAGUUGCGGACUUGCCAUGAGAUUUGAGAUGGCCUACACUUAACAAUCUACUUGAGGCCUAUUCUUUGAUCUCAAGUUCUGUUAGUUGCAGACUUGCCAUGAGAUCUAAGAUGGCCUACACUUAACAAUCUACCUUAGUUUUGUUGAUUGGUUGAGCUCUUGUUGAGGUUGUUUUAGCCCCAUUAGUUUGGUUGUUUUAUUUUCCUCUUUUGGCUGUUUUGACGGUGGGUGUAUAGGUAUUGUAUACCUUGAGUCGCUCCUUUGGCACCUCUUUUUAAUAGAUCUUUUUCUUUACCUAUCAAAAAAAAAAAAAAAACACAACAAUCUGCCAAAGAUAACUACUGAUUUCUCAUUAAAAAAAAUCUCUCUGAAGCUUCCCAAUUUUGAUGCCUAAUCUUGACUUGAGUCUUGAACAAAAACAUGUAGCACAUCUUGGUAUUAAGGAAGUUUGACAGAUUAGCAUUAUUCUUUGGCUCUAAGAGGUGUAGUUUCUUUUCCAGUGAGUGACAUGCAAGACAUCUCCUGAUUCUUUAUAGAACAGCAUCACAAAGUAUAACGGAUCAUCACUGAGAUGCAAACUUAAGCAUCUGGGAACUCUAUAUUUUUAUUCUACCUUAAAUUUUCUAAGUGUGACUGAAUUUCAAAUGAUUUUGAACCAAUGAAGAAUAAACUUGAAGUCGACAAUGUUUUGGUUGGGAUAAGUUCUAGAGAUGAUAAGUUCUAUCAUUUCCCUCACCCAUUGGGUUGUGGCAUUAUUGGUUAACCUGUAAAGUGUAUUAGCCUUCAUUAGGAAGUAUUUUAAGGGUGUUCUUGCACUGAGAAGGCAAUAAAGUGAUUGCAUAGCUGAAAAUAUGUUAUAUUCUUUUGGGGUUGGGAGUAGCUUAAUUCAAUUAAUUUUCACUUUGUCUUUCUCUCAACCAACUUUCUCUCUUUUUGAAGGUUUCCUAUCAGUAUGGCCCUUAGGAAUUGAGAUUGAGGAUAUUUAAAGAGAGACUGUAUCUUUUGAGUUAAGGCUUGUCAAGGAGGAAUAUUGUGUGAAAUAGAAUGUUGUUUACUGUCCUAAACAGAAAGAUCAUCUUGGUUUUGGUCAUGUUAAAGUAAUCAAAUGGAAAUUGAAGCAGGAUUUCAUGAUGGCAUAAAAAAUUUACAAGAAAAUUAUUUUAAUGAGAAUGCAAAUGACAUUAGUACAAUCUCCCAUAGAAUCUGCCAAUCCAAAAACCAAAAAAAUAAAAGUAAAAAUGAAAACAAAACCAAGAAAUUGGGGAUAAAAAAGGAAGACAAGGAAGAAAACACCUAAAUAAUCUUUCAGAAUGGAUUAUUUCACAUAUCCAAAAGACGAAGUAAUAUCUUCAAUUUUUAGUAGGUUUGAACAAUUGAAAGGAUAUAAAAAUUUAUUCCUUUCUUAUUGAAUUUAAAAAAGCUCAACAUUGAUCAUUAGACAAUUGAUGGUUUGAGAAAAAAAGGUCAAUCUGGGAAAAUUUUUAUGCGACCUGACAAGUUUAAGAUGAUUCCAGAAUUAUGCAUCUUAAAAUGGAAAUUUUCCAAACUGGACUAUAGAGUACACUUGAAACACUCAGUUAUAUAAAGGGGUUGAGUUCUUUCCCACAUAUGUACAUUCUUAUAAAAUGUUUACAUGAUAACUGUAACAGUUUCCUUCCCAUGAUUCCCACUUCUAUCAAAACAAAUACAAUCAAUAGGGAUAUGCAGGAAGAAACAAUUUUUAUUGGAAACAUAAGUAAUAUACACAUUUGGAAAUGAUUAAUAUACUCAUUUAGAAAUGAAUCUAACUUUUUUAGUGUUUCAAAUGUAGUUUUUGUUUCUGCUUUGAGUGGAAGGUGAUGGCUUUUGAAUUGGGGACAAUAAAAAUUGAAUCUUCUUGGAGUUUUGUACCAAUCGACCAUGCAACAGCAUAAACUGCUACCAUGAUUGUAGAAUGGUCAAGCAGGAGAGAAAGAACGGACACACAUGUGAGGGAAUGGCUAUUAUCUAGGACCAAAUCAAUUAUGGUGGUGUUGUUUUUAGAAGCUUAUUAACCCAAUUGACCGGCUGAGUCGGUUGGACCAUCACUUGGGUUCCAAAACAGGUUAAUUUUAUCUCUUAAUCGAGUUGAAAUGGAAAACACUGUCACCUUUCUGUUACAUGGAUGCCAUGCGUUGAUCUUGAACAACUGUCCUGGAUUUGGCGACCUGACCUAUGCUUUAUGCUUUUAAUCGACGGCUGUGAUCUUUUGCGCUCAUUGAAGCAAUCUCGGCCGUUGAAUUAGCGAGGAAAGAAACCCUAAUUGAUGCUAUUUAAGAGUGACAAGAGAAGAGAGUUGCAAGUUUGCAACAACAGCGCACCGCUCUUGAUGUCGUGCUGCCUUCCCCGUUGUGUACAAUGUCGUCCAUGUUUGACCCUUUUAAGUAAGUUUCUCUUGUUCUUUCUGGAAGUGACAAUCAGAUCGAAAGUGUUUGUUGUGCCAAUGGGCUUGUUUCUUGAAUUUUUUUCUUAAUGCGUUGAAAUUUUCUCGAUAUUAAUGCUGAUCGAAGCUGAUUUUUCCUGUGUGAUAUCUGGAGAUGCAAACCAUUUUUAGUC